GUUUAUUUGCCUGUUAUGAUUUUUAAUAACAGAAUAGUCUGUGCACAGUUGCAAUCUUAACAGUAAAUUUUGGCUUACAUUUAAGACCAGUAAAAUUUUGAAAAGCACAGCCACCAUCUGUAUGCUACUGAAAAUUGUAUUUUGAAAAUGGUAAAUUACGAAAGCACUUGUCAGUAAGAAAACCAGGAAAAAUGUGGAGUCCUGUCAAGAGUGUUUUGCCCAGUAUGUGUGUUUAUAGUUCCAAAUAUUUUCUUUAUUUUUUUUUUUUUUAAAAUGGUGUUAUAUUACAUACAGUAAUUUGAUUUAAAAUGUCUUAUAAUAAUUUCAUGGUUAGUCAGAUGUAUUCUGUUUUCACAGACAAGGACAUCCUGAGUGCCAAUAAUAUCCAAGAAAAGCAGCCACCAUUACGGUUAGAUCCUCUUGUAGGAGACCAGAGUGCUACAUGUUUUUCAGCCAACGAGCAGUGAGGAGAGAGAGAGAAAAACCCCGAGAGACCCUGACCGACACAGACCCUGUUCCCGAG
ensembl:lncRNA